rnacentral:rRNA from 1 species
GGGUUGUGAGGUUAAGCGACUAAGCGUACACGGUGGAUGCCCUGGCAGUCAGAGGCGAUGAAGGACGUGCUAAUCUGCGAUAAGCGUCGGUAAGGUGAUAUGAACCGUUAUAACCGGCGAUUUCCGAAUGGGGAAACCCAGUGUGUUUCGACACACUAUCAUUAACUGAAUCCAUAGGUUAAUGAGGCGAACCGGGGGAACUGAAACAUCUAAGUACCCCGAGGAAAAGAAAUCAACCGAGAUUCCCCCAGUAGCGGCGAGCGAACGGGGAGCAGCCCAGAGCCUGAAUCAGUGUGUGUGUUAGUGGAAGCGUCUGGAAAGGCGCGCGAUACAGGGUGACAGCCCCGUACACAAAAAUGCACAUGCUGUGAGCUCGAUGAGUAGGGCGGGACACGUGGUAUCCUGUCUGAAUAUGGGGGGACCAUCCUCCAAGGCUAAAUACUCCUGACUGACCGAUAGUGAACCAGUACCGUGAGGGAAAGGCGAAAAGAACCCCGGCGAGGGGAGUGAAAAAGAACCUGAAACCGUGUACGUACAAGCAGUGGGAGCACGCUUAGGCGUGUGACUGCGUACCUUUUGUAUAAUGGGUCAGCGACUUAUAUUCUGUAGCAAGGUUAACCGAAUAGGGGAGCCGAAGGGAAACCGAGUCUUAACUGGGCGUUAAGUUGCAGGGUAUAGACCCGAAACCCGGUGAUCUAGCCAUGGGCAGGUUGAAGGUUGGGUAACACUAACUGGAGGACCGAACCGACUAAUGUUGAAAAAUUAGCGGAUGACUUGUGGCUGGGGGUGAAAGGCCAAUCAAACCGGGAGAUAGCUGGUUCUCCCCGAAAGCUAUUUAGGUAGCGCCUCGUGAAUUCAUCUCCGGGGGUAGAGCACUGUUUCGGCAAGGGGGUCAUCCCGACUUACCAACCCGAUGCAAACUGCGAAUACCGGAGAAUGUUAUCACGGGAGACACACGGCGGGUGCUAACGUCCGUCGUGAAGAGGGAAACAACCCAGACCGCCAGCUAAGGUCCCAAAGUCAUGGUUAAGUGGGAAACGAUGUGGGAAGGCCCAGACAGCCAGGAUGUUGGCUUAGAAGCAGCCAUCAUUUAAAGAAAGCGUAAUAGCUCACUGGUCGAGUCGGCCUGCGCGGAAGAUGUAACGGGGCUAAACCAUGCACCGAAGCUGCGGCAGCGACGCUUAUGCGUUGUUGGGUAGGGGAGCGUUCUGUAAGCCUGCGAAGGUGUGCUGUGAGGCAUGCUGGAGGUAUCAGAAGUGCGAAUGCUGACAUAAGUAACGAUAAAGCGGGUGAAAAGCCCGCUCGCCGGAAGACCAAGGGUUCCUGUCCAACGUUAAUCGGGGCAGGGUGAGUCGACCCCUAAGGCGAGGCCGAAAGGCGUAGUCGAUGGGAAACAGGUUAAUAUUCCUGUACUUGGUGUUACUGCGAAGGGGGGACGGAGAAGGCUAUGUUGGCCGGGCGACGGUUGUCCCGGUUUAAGCGUGUAGGCUGGUUUUCCAGGCAAAUCCGGAAAAUCAAGGCUGAGGCGUGAUGACGAGGCACUACGGUGCUGAAGCAACAAAUGCCCUGCUUCCAGGAAAAGCCUCUAAGCAUCAGGUAACAUCAAAUCGUACCCCAAACCGACACAGGUGGUCAGGUAGAGAAUACCAAGGCGCUUGAGAGAACUCGGGUGAAGGAACUAGGCAAAAUGGUGCCGUAACUUCGGGAGAAGGCACGCUGAUAUGUAGGUGAGGUCCCUCGCGGAUGGAGCUAAAAUCAGUCGAAGAUACCAGCUGGCUGCAACUGUUUAUUAAAAACACAGCACUGUGCAAACACGAAAGUGGACGUAUACGGUGUGACGCCUGCCCGGUGCCGGAAGGUUAAUUGAUGGGGUCAGCGCAAGCGAAGCUCUUGAUCGAAGCCCCGGUAAACGGCGGCCGUAACUAUAACGGUCCUAAGGUAGCGAAAUUCCUUGUCGGGUAAGUUCCGACCUGCACGAAUGGCGUAAUGAUGGCCAGGCUGUCUCCACCCGAGACUCAGUGAAAUUGAACUCGCUGUGAAGAUGCAGUGUACCCGCGGCAAGACGGAAAGACCCCGUGAACCUUUACUAUAGCUUGACACUGAACAUUGAGCCUUGAUGUGUAGGAUAGGUGGGAGGCUUUGAAGUGUGGACGCCAGUCUGCAUGGAGCCGACCUUGAAAUACCACCCUUUAAUGUUUGAUGUUCUAACGUUGACCCGUAAUCCGGGUUGCGGACAGUGUCUGGUGGGUAGUUUGACUGGGGCGGUCUCCUCCUAAAGAGUAACGGAGGAGCACGAAGGUUGGCUAAUCCUGGUCGGACAUCAGGAGGUUAGUGCAAUGGCAUAAGCCAGCUUGACUGCGAGCGUGACGGCGCGAGCAGGUGCGAAAGCAGGUCAUAGUGAUCCGGUGGUUCUGAAUGGAAGGGCCAUCGCUCAACGGAUAAAAGGUACUCCGGGGAUAACAGGCUGAUACCGCCCAAGAGUUCAUAUCGACGGCGGUGUUUGGCACCUCGAUGUCGGCUCAUCACAUCCUGGGGCUGAAGUAGGUCCCAAGGGUAUGGCUGUUCGCCAUUUAAAGUGGUACGCGAGCUGGGUUUAGAACGUCGUGAGACAGUUCGGUCCCUAUCUGCCGUGGGCGCUGGAGAACUGAGGGGGGCUGCUCCUAGUACGAGAGGACCGGAGUGGACGCAUCACUGGUGUUCGGGUUGUCAUGCCAAUGGCACUGCCCGGUAGCUAAAUGCGGAAGAGAUAAGUGCUGAAAGCAUCUAAGCACGAAACUUGCCCCGAGAUGAGUUCUCCCUGACCCUUUAAGGGUCCUGAAGGAACGUUGAAGACGACGACGUUGAUAGGCCGGGUGUGUAAGCGCAGCGAUGCGUUGAGCUAACCGGUACUAAUGAACCGUGAGGCUUAACCUUACAACGCCGAAGGUGUUU